rnacentral:rRNA from 1 species
AUGCUGCUGCCGCUGCCCCGUGCUACCGCCUCCAUUGAACUGGUCGGCUCGCGCUCCAUCAGCUCCGUUGCCGCAGCCGCCGAGCACCACGCUGCAGUCUUGGAGAAGGGCCGCAACCGCCGAGCUCCGUUGCCACAGUCUUGGACAGGAAGUGGAUGGGGUGGAGGCGAGGAGAUGUGGAGGAGGGCCCGAGAAGUGAGCGCUUUGGCCGGAGAUGUGGAGGAGGGCGAGGAGAUGUGGCCUGUGCGCAGCGGCGGCGCCGCACACAGGAGGAGGGACAGGAAACGAGCGAUUCUAGGGUUGGCUGUUUCGGUUUCGUGGAUAGCACCACCGGUGAUUCCAAAGCUGAUGCUGCUCAAACGGUUUCCUCUGGAGCUCUCCAGCACCGGCCUCGGCUUCGACCCGGCCACCGGCCAGCACAAGGUGGUCAGGCUCUUCAGGAACAUCUUCGGGCAGCAGAAGUGCGAGGUGUGCUCGCUUACGGCGUCCGGCGAGUGGCGGUGGCGGCGCUGCGCCGGCGGUGACGCGCCGCCAAGAUUCGCCUGCGCCGACGACGGCACCGCCAGCUGGGACCCGCAGCACGACGCGCCCAUCCUGUCGCUCUCCGUCGGCGCCGAUCGGUUCGGGUGGGUGCGCACGCCGCCGCGGCUGGCGUCACGCAGCCGGCACCUCACCAACCUCGACGGCUCCCUCUGCGCCGUCGUCCACGCCCGCCUCGUUUACGACGUGCUCCUGCUCAUCACGUGGAGUCCAUCGUCGCCGUCGUGGUCUGCGCGCUGCCGCAUCAACGUGGGCAGCCUGCCCCAGCCGAUCCGGGACGAGCUCAGCGGGGAGCGGGAGAUCGUCCCGCUGUGCAGUGUGAAGAAGAAGAUCCUGCUGGCGACGAGCCGGCACAAGGUGUACGCCUACGACACGGAGCAAGGCGCCGCCGAGGAGGUGUUCGACAUAAAUAGCUUUGUCGAUGUGCCGCCACACAACAGCGAGUCACGGCUGUUCGUCAACAUUGGCCUCCACGAGGAACACAUCGGCCCGAAGUUGGCGGGUGACAACUGGCUACAGGUGAAGCGGGGACGAGGCAUGGUGCUCGGCAAGCGGGAGCCGUCGUCGGCGUAUCAUCUGGAACAUCGGGAGCAGGACGAGGACUUUCACAGGAAGAGAGAAGUGGUCAUGCACCUUGCAUUUCCAUAG